rnacentral:rRNA from 1 species
CAGGACAUCCUACACCAUAUACACUCCCUCUUGCUGGUGCGAGACGCUGCGCGUGUUGCUUGCGUGUCCCGUGGGUUUCUACGUUCCUGGAGAUGCUAUACAAAACUCAUACUCAACGAUGAUACACUCGAGUUGACUGACAAGAAAUUUGAGAACAGAGAACCAUAUAUCAUCAACAAAGUUGACCAGAUUCUUGAAAACCAUCACAGUAAUGGGGUUAAGGUGGAGACGCUUAAACUUGACCUUGGCUCUUGCAGAAACAUCAAAGGCUCCUGCGUGGACAGGUGGCUCCAAAUCAUCCUGAAGUCUGGGAUCAAAGAACUUGACUUGUGUAUGCCUAUGUUCAUGAAGGAAAAGUAUAGCUUCCCGUGUUCGGUUUUCUCAGACGAGGAAGCUGCAACUUCAAUCCAGACUCUUCGCCCCUUCGAUUGCCAUCUUCAUCCCACGUUGACACUUAGCCACUUGCAAAGAUUGACACGUUUACAAUUGUCUUCUGUCCGCAUUACCGAUGAAGAAUUAGGGCUCUUGCUCUCGAGAACUUCCGCCCUGGAGCGGCUGGACCUCUUCUCUUGCAGUGGGAUAAUUCGCUUGCGAAUACCUUGUACGCUUCCACAACUCAAUUCCUUGUGUAUUAUCGAAUGCCAAACGAUGCUCCAGGUGGUAGAGAUCGAUGCUCCAAAUCUCUUCUCCUUCCGUUGCGGCAGUAUCCAUUAUGAUCGGACCCAGAUAGAAAUCUCCACC